rnacentral:rRNA from 1 species
AUUGAACGCUGGCGGCAGGCCUAACACAUGCAAGUCGAACGAGUGGCGGCCGGGUGAGUAAUGCCUAGGAAUCUGCCUCGUAGUUGGGGAUAACGUCCGUAAACGGGCGCUAAUAGCGCAUACUAUCAGAUGAGCCUAGGUCGGAUUAGCGAGUGGGUGGGGUAACGGCCUCCCAAGACGACGAUCCGUAACUGGUCUGAGAGGAUGAUCAGCCACACGGGGACUGAGACACGGACCAGACUGCUACGUGAGGCGGCAGUGGGGACUAUUUCGCGAUGGGCGGAAGCCUGAUGCAGCCAUGCCGCGUGAAUGAAGAAGGCCUUCGGGUUGUAAAGUACUUUCAGCGGGGAGGCGGUACCCGCAGAAGAAGCACCGGCUAACUACGUGCCAGCAGCCGCGGUAAUUC